CGAGGGGAGUGAAAAAGAACCUGAAACCGUGUACGUACAAGCAGUGGGAGCCUCUUUAUGGGGUGACUGCGUACCUUUUGUAUAAUGGGUCAGCGACUUAUAUUCUGUAGCAAGGUUAACCGUAUAGGGGAGCCGAAGGGAAACCGAGUCUUAACUGGGCGUUAAGUUGCAGGGUAUAGACCCGAAACCCGGUGAUCUAGCCAUGGGCAGGUUGAAGGUUGGGUAACACUAACUGGAGGACCGAACCGACUAAUGUUGAAAAAUUAGCGGAUGACCUGUGGCUGGGGGUGAAAGGCCAAUCAAACCGGGAGAUAGCUGGUUCUCCCCGAAAGCUAUUUAGGUAGCGCCUCGUGAACUCAUCUUCGGGGGUAGAGCACUGUUUCGGCUAGGGGGCCAUCCCGGCUUACCAACCCGAUGCAAACUACGAAUACCGAAGAAUGUUAUCACGGGAGACACACGGCGGGUGCUAACGUCCGUCGUGAAGAGGGAAACAACCCAGACCGCCAGCUAAGGUCCCAAAGUCAUGGUUAAGUGGGAAACGAUGUGGGAAGGCACAGACAGCCAGGAUGUUGGCUUAGAAGCAGCCAUCAUUUAAAGAAAGCGUAAUAGCUCACUGGUCGAGUCGGCCUGCGCGGAAGAUGUAACGGGGCUAAACCAUGCACCGAAGCUGCGGCAGCGACACUAUGUGUUGUUGGGUAGGGGAGCGUUCUGUAAGCCGUUGAAGGUGUGCUGUGAGGCAUGCUGGAGGUAUCAGAAGUGCGAAUGCUGACAUAAGUAACGAUAAAGCGGGUGAAAAGCCCGCUCGCCGGAAGACCAAGGGUUCCUGUCCAACGUUAAUCGGGGCAGGGUGAGUCGACCCCUAAGGCGAGGCCGAAAGGCGUAGUCGAUGGGAAACAGGUUAAUAUUCCUGUAC
rnacentral:rRNA from 1 species